GGUUUCGUAGGGACUGCGGAGACAUUA
rnacentral:rRNA from 1 species